GCCAAUAGAACCUUCCUUUUUUUUUUUUUUUCCUUUAUUUUUUUUACCCCCCACUUCUUACUAGAGAAAUUCGUGUUGCCUCAGCAAUUAAGGAGAAGAGCCAGCAUCUAGGGUUCCAGGCUGUGAGGGGAAGUAGCAACUUGUACCAGCAGCCACAGUCUUCAGCUGUUCUUGCAGGAGAUGGAGGGAGGCUUCAUUGAGUCUUCACAAAGGGAAGAAUUUUCAAAUUAAUAAUUAGCACCAUGAAACUUUUACAGUACUGCUGCUUUCAAGCAAGGGAAUCUCC
rnacentral:lncRNA from 1 species